rfam:Ciona savignyi cont_35354, whole genome shotgun sequence.
GUCUCUGUGGCGCAAUUGGUUAGCGCGUUCGGCUGUUAACCGAAAGGUUGCUGGUUCAAGCCAAGCCAGGGUCG